GGCUGGUUGGCUACGUUCGGGAGGGAUAACCGCUGAAAGCAUCUAAGCGGGAAGCCUGCUUCGAGAUGAGGACUCCCACCCCCUGGAGGGGUUAAGGCUCCCAGUAGACGACUGGGUUGAUAGGCCAGGUAUGGAAGCCCUGUGAGGGGUGGAGUUGACUGGUACUAAUAGGCCGAGGGCUUGUCCUCAGUUG
rnacentral:rRNA from 1 species